UACAGAGGGCCCAAGCGUUACUGAGAAUCACUGGGCUUAAAGGGUGCGUAGGUGGUCCGUUAAGUCAGUUGUGAAAUCCCCGGGCUCAACCCGGGAACUGCUUCUGAUACUGGCGGACUUGAGGCCAGUAGGGGUGACUAGAACUGACGGUGGAGCGGUGAAAUGCGUAGAUAUCGUCUGGAACGCCAAAGGUGAAAACAGCUCGCUGGGGUUGGGCUGACGCUGAGACACGAAAGCCAGGGGAGCGAACGGG
rnacentral:rRNA from 1 species